AAAUUGAAGAGUUUGAUCAUGGCUCAGAUUGAACGCUGGCGGCAGGCCUAACACAUGCAAGUCGAGCGGAAACGAGUUAUCAGAACCUUCGGGGGACGAUAACGGCGUCGAGCGGCGGACGGGUGAGUAAUGCCUAGGAAAUUGCCCUGAUGUGGGGGAUAACCAUUGGAAACGAUGGCUAAUACCGCAUGAU
rnacentral:rRNA from 1 species